rnacentral:rRNA from 1 species
GUGAGGAACCUGCCUUGGAGAGGGGGAAUAACACUCCGAAGGGAGUGCUAAUACCGCAUGAUGCAGUUGAGUCGCAUGGCUCUGACUGCCAAAGAUUUAUCGCUCUGAGAUGGCCUCGCGUCUGAUUAGCUAGUAGGCGGGGUAACGGCCCACCUAGGCGACGAUCAGUAGCCGGACUGAGAGGUUGACCGGCCACAUUGGGACUGAGACACGGCCCAGACUCCUACGGGAGGCAGCAUG